UGAAUGAUGUUAUUUGACCCCUGAAAAUUGAGAAUCAGCCAGAGCAGUCCUGUAUGGCGGUCGUGUGGAAAGGAUGCAACCGUGUGGGAUGGCCGUCACUACAAGCAGUCACUUCUUGACACAAAAUCCUGUCACACAAGGCCAAUGGAUGGUUGGUGCAUUUUCACUGAGUUUGAAUGUGGUAGGAUUCUUAGGAAUCUAGAGCCAGAGAUGAAGCGGAAGCCACAAGGAAGCCGGGGUUUUAUAAACACCACAGAAAGUUGGUUCACUUGUGUCUCCUCAACCUCACUCGGUGCUAC